GACGAACGCUGGCGGCGUGCCUAAUACAUGCAAGUAGAACGCUGAAGGAGGAGCUUGCUUCUCUGGAUGAGUUGCGAACGGGUGAGUAACGCGUAGGUAACCUGCCUGGUAGCGGGGGAUAACUAUUGGAAACGAUAGCUAAUACCGCAUAAUAGUAGAUGUUGCAUGACAUUUGCUUAAAAGGUGCAAUUGCAUCACUACCAGAUGGACCUGCGUUGUAUUAGCUAGUUGGUGGGGUAACGGCUCACCAAGGCGACGAUACAUAGCCGACCUGAGAGGGGGAUCGGCCACACUGGGACUGAGACACGGCCCAGAGUGCUACGGGAGGCAGCAGUAGGGAAUCUUCGGCAAUGGACGGAAGUCUGACCGAGCAACGCCGCGUGAGUGAAGAAGGUUGUCGGAUCGUAAAGCUCGGUUGUAAGAGAAGAAAGAGUGUGAGAGUGGAAAGUUGACACUGUGACGGUAUCUGAUCAGAAAGGGACGGCUAACUACGUG
rnacentral:rRNA from 1 species